GCGGUCGUAGCUCAGCUGGAUAGAGCGUUGGACUCCGACUCCAAAGGCCAGAGGUUCGAAUCCCCCCGGCCGCA
rfam:Subdoligranulum variabile DSM 15176 genomic scaffold Scfld2, whole genome shotgun sequence.